rnacentral:lncRNA from 1 species
UCAGACUUUCUCUUCGUCAUCUUCAUCCGAUUAAUAGCGUCUUCCAACUUCACUUCUGCCUAUAAAUUCCUCUUCUCAUCAAUAGAAUCAUCAUCCACAAUCACAUAGAAUUCGAAGAGAAAUCAAGAGAUUUAUCGAAGAAAUAAUUUGAGAGAGAAAUCAAGAAGAUUGGAGAUAAGCUAGGUUUCAACAAACCGAGGGAAAGAUGUUGACUUGACGAUUUUCCUGGCGGGUUUCAGCGAUCAGGAUAUAUCAUUCGAAAGCCCUCGAUGUAAGCUUCAAUUUGGUGGUGGUUUCCGGCUGUUGUCUCAGGUGGUGGUCGCCGGAGUUCAACGAGAAGUCCAACCUGCUGCUGAAGUUUCAAGAGUCGAUUUGAGGUACUUAGGCUUCGUAUUUCGGAUUUAUUUCUCCUGGAAAGUUAUAGAACAGACUAAAUACUACAGGAAUAUCGAUUUUUUCCCCAAAGUUAUACCUCUGUACAAAGUUGAUUUUCAUCCGACAGUUGUGACAAUGAUUUCUGAAAUUUCUGCAAUUAAAAACCUUAUGCCGCUCCUGUUUUCGGGGCAGAUUUUGGGGGUUUUGGGAUUUGAAUUUUAAAGCAGUUCCUUCUUAUAAAUCGUAGAUAGUAUGGGGAAGUUUAAGGAUACUCUGAAUCUUGCUUGGUUUGAUCCAUUUUUAAGGUUUGUUUGAUGGGGGGAAACAGGGUAGUUCCAUCUGCAAAAUUCUGGCAGUUCAUAUGACUUAUCUUUCGAGACUAUUUCCUAUGCGUUCGAGUCAUAAUUUGAGGUCAGUGUCUUCAGUUCAGUUGUAGAUGAAGACGUUAUGUUCAAUUUGGUACGUGAUUUGUCAAAAUUGGAUAAUAUUUCGAAUUAUUAUGAUUUUUCAAAAAAAUACUGCCAAAAUGAUUUUUUGUCAAAUCCUGGUAGUUUCUGUUAUCAUUUUCUUGGGCUGUUUUAGCAAUGUUUCACUCAUAAUUUGAAAGUGUUGUCUUCAGUGAACUUGUAGAUCUUGUUGUUAGCUUUAAUUUGAUAUAUCAUUUGGUCUGUUUCGAGAUACAUGCAAUUUGUUAUGGUUUUUCAAAUAAGCUGUACCAGAAAUAAUCUUUCCAAAAUCCUUGCAGUUCUGUAAUGUUGGUUUGAGGCUGUUUCUGCUAUUUUUGGUUCAGAAUUUGGUACUAGACCCUUCUGUGAACUCGUAGGAUUUUCUGUUAGCUUUCAUUUGCGUAUCAUGUGAUCAAUUUCGAUAAACGUGGAACCUGUUAUGGGUUUUCAAAUGAACUGUGGCAGCAUGUUAGUUUUAUUAUUAGGUUGAGAAACUCUUCUAAUAAAAUGAGUUAAUUCUAUGGGUUUGCGGCCCGGUUCGGUAAAUGAAAUAAUUAUGUGUUGUGCUUAGAUGUCGGGUUAUGGGAUUAAUUAAAUUAGAAUUAGUAAGUUUUUCGGCCUUAAGGACAUAAAGAAAACUAGGAAAUAUCGUAUGUAUAUGAAUUCAUUUAAUAAGUAUUUGGAAUCUUAUUAAGUGAUAAAUAUUUUUAUAGGUAUUGAGUGUAGUAAAGCUCUCGCUCAAGACUUGAGAGUUGCUUGAGCGUAAAGAUAAUUUAUAGCACUUGCAUUGGACUCCAUGUGAGGAUCUCUAUUUCUUCACUAUUAUUUCUUGGAAAAAACAAAAUGCACACUGAGAAUAAGAUAUCUGUUAUUGCUUCUUGAUCACUUAAAUGUGAUAUAUCUUACUUGUUGCCUAUCAUAUUAUAUUUUGAUUCUUGAAUUGUUGAAAAUAAUUAUUUAUUCGGAAUUCUCUUAAUGGUUCGUAUCUUCUUCCUCGAACGAUUCAAAUAAGUUCUCAUCUUGAUUCGAGACUUAUUUCAAUAAUUUAUUAUCCAGAUUUUUUGACUACUCAAUCGAGCUCUUUUAUCGAUUCUUGAAUAAUUUGGAGUUUCAGUCCGAUUCUCAAUCAAUUGUCAAUCGUUUCACAUAUUGACUUGUAUACUAGUUGGAACCACUUCUAUUAUGACUCAUUAAAUCAUUUGAUUUGUUUCUACAGUGGUUCAAUAAACGUAAAUCGUUAUUUUCCCGACUCUUGGACCAUUUAGGAUUAUUCUGUUUAUCCAUUAAAUCAUUCGUUUCGUACCUACUGUGAAUUGAUGGAUCGUUCAUAUCUUGACUUCUCAUUGAUCCUUUGGAACCACUUGUCUUUCGAGCUAUUCAACUACGGAUUCAAUUUUAACCGUAGACUAUUGUUGAUUGAGAUCCAUCUUCAUCAAUUGUUAUACGAUCAUGAAUUGUGGUCACUCUCUUAUUGAAACCAUUGAUCGUACCUUUCUUGACUUGUGAAUUCGUGACUACAUAUUAUUGUCACUUGUUAUUGAAAUCCCAAGACUUAUUGAACUAUGAUAUUGACUCUUUCCAAAGUGGAAUUCAUUAUUGGGAUUCAAAAUGUAAAUUGAGAUAGUCGGUAGCAUAUCCGUAUCUCUAUAUCAUUGAUUCCUUUGGGGACGCCCUAAGGAUAAUUGACCAGUUGGAAAAAGACUGCUGGGCGGUAUUGGGCCGACGGUGGAUGGUCUCUUCGACAGUACCCAUAUUGGAUCUAGACCAUUGGCAUAGUUGGAGGUUAACUGUGCUGAUGGAUGGAUCGGCAUGCGCCCGGGCAUGCCUAUUGAUCGAUUAGCAGGGUAGCUCCCUGAUCGGUGUUAUAAGGUAGUUACGGCUAAGGGAGUCACAAGGCAGGUACAGGUACAUGAACAAAUUGUUACCAUGGGAAUCUCCAUGGUCUCAUAUUUGAUAUCCUAAAUUGUUAUCGUGGGAAUCUCCACGAAAUACAUAAUUGAUAUCCGGGAAUUACCCGUUGAGUAUUGUUCUUUACCUGUACAUAUUGAUUGUAUUGUUUAUUCUGACCAUAGUGAUGUGCCUUAUACGUUGGCCUCUUAUUCCUUAUCGAACGAUCAUUCUCUAGAUGGUCCAAUUACAACUCCAAUUCCAAGUUGAACACUUAUAUUGUGAUUAUUAUUUGAUUCGACUGUUUUUCCCUUGUACUCCUCACUAAGUCCACUUGGACUUACUCCUCCUUUAUUUUCCAUCUUAUUCUCAGUGGCAGGUGCUAUAAGUGGACGUUUGUGUUGACUGCAAUUAGGAGUAAAGUUACUUGGAAGUUUUAUAGAGUUUAAUAGAGUGAUGUUGUAUUUAAGAAUGGUUGUAAUUCAAGAACUAUGUAUACGAGUUUAGUUGCGAGCUUUAAUUGCCACUUGUAUUUAAUUUUAAUGUUAAGUAGUUAAGUUGAAGUUGCUAUAUUAAUUAGUAGUCAUAGUAUUCAUAAAAAAAAAAAAAGUAUAUAGUGUAUUACGGUGGUGGGCGUCAUAAUCAUGAUUGUUUUUCUAUGUUUGUUAUAUAUAUG